rnacentral:tRNA from 1 species
GGGUGUGGCUCAGUGGUAGAGCACUUGCCUAGCAUGCAUAAGGCCCUGGAUUCUAGCCCUAGCAUCACA